rnacentral:lncRNA from 1 species
AGAAGGCCACACCCCUCGGGAUCGGAGCAUGAGGAUGGGAUUCUGUGGAAAUCAAAGGCUGGCUACCGUGGAGGGUAUCACCCGUACAGCUUAACGUUUUGAAUUGGUAGAACUGAGGUACUGAGACUUAGUCUGAGUCCAGGACCAGACACAGCAAGACACAGUUCCCGUGUACACAGAGUGGGCUUUUAUUAACAUUUACCUUUAACAUUUACAUUUCCUAACUGGCUAGAUGACUAGGCUAGCCUAAAUAUAGCAGGUUUUCUGACAUGAGUAGUUAAGAAAAAAAAAAUCUUUAUUAAUCUCUUUCCAUCCUCUGACUUUUUCUCCAAACGAUAUUUUUGUCUUGGAUCAUGAGAGCCUUGUGGUCAAAGCCAAGAUGAAUAUCUUGUGGGAAAAUGUCUGUAAAAGAAAUUUCUUUGGACAAAUUGGGAUAGAUUGGCCAGGAACUUAGGUCUAAACUUUGCCUUCCAUAAUGAAUGAGGAAGAGUUAUUGACCAUACGAGAGGGUUCUGUUAAGUGGACUGUAAAUAUUAAGGACAAUAGCUUUAACUGGCCCUUGAUCAAAAAACAAUCCUGCUGUCUUUUCCUGCACUGUCUUUUUCCCACAUGUAUGAUUCCAGGAGUGCUUGGGGCAUCUGCUGUGUUAGAGGGGGCACAGAGUACCCUCAAGAGACAUGCAGCUUUGUAUCUGUCCUGCCUUGUUAACACCUUUGUCAGCUGUGAUUCUCAUACCAUGUAACUCACUCAUUAAAGACACUGUUCACUGGUUCUCAGGAUAUUCAUGCGUCCUUCUCCAGUGAAGCUCUGGACCUCUUGGCUAUUACCCCCCAAACCUAGUUUUAUGAUAACCAUUUAUCUACUUUCUUUUCC